CGGGGGCGGUGCUGGGCAGCACCCCAGCAUAGCAGGUGAGGGUAUGAUCGCUGUUGGGGAAGACGGCUGGGUCGGGUCAUUCUUGUAGGCAAUGGUACCAUCGCUGUUGGGGAAGACGUCCGCAGCAGCGCAGUAGGUGGUGCGGCGGUGCCGUUUCCGGCGGGCGGUGCUGGUAGACGAUGCCGAAGCGGCCAGACCCGCCUGGAGCAGCAAUUCCGGCCGGGCGAGAUGUCUAGCGGGCUGAAUAGCAGGGCCGGCCAUGAUGAUGGCUGGGUCCUCGAGCAACGGCUACUCGACCAUAAAAAAAACACACCUAAAGGUCGAGCAAUUUACGCAGCCAACAAAAAGUCAAGUGAAGACGCACCAGAUGGGGUGGCGGCUAACAGAAAAUUGGUGGACUAUUUCCACUGCAAACCUGGCUGCAAAUUGACUGGGAUCUUGACCUCCCUCCCCACGAGAUGCUGACAAAAGCCAGAAUAAAUUUUGGAAGCCACAUCUUCAGAGAAAUUUUCAUCACAACAGCGUGGACGAUUUGGAAAGUCAGAAAUGGUGCCAUUUUUGACAAUAAAGCAGUCUCUCUUACUGAAUGGAAAAUCCUGCUAAAGGAAGAGAUAGGCUUGGUGUGCAUCAAGGCCAAACAGAGGAUUGCUGACUCAUUGAAACUUUGGUGUGAGAAUAGACUCUAGUUUCCACUGUAUUUUUCGCUUUGGGCCUUGAAGGCCUUUGUAUUCUUUAUUCUUUGUACAUAAAUCAAUAAAAUGAAAAAAA